AAAAAGGCAAAUACUAUGUUUUCGUAUCCAACGUUUGAUUAUCCGUCUUAUAUGAAAAUUUUUUAUAAUUAGUAUUUUCAUUGUUGUUAGAUGAUAAAACAUGAUUAAUACUUUAUGCGUGACUUGUCUUUUUAAUUUUUUUCAUAAUUUUUUUCAAAUAAUACGGACGGCCAAACGUUGGAUACGGAAUCCCAGGUGUGGAGAUUAUA
rfam:Oryza barthii chromosome 5, whole genome shotgun sequence.